UUGAUAAAUUGAGUCCACUCGGGAUUUGCAGAAGGGUGAAAAUUAGGCGGCGCAGGGCAGCGGCCAAUCACAGGUCAAUUCAGGUUCCCGAGCUGUCUACUGUCGCCUUAUCAUAUAGCAUCGAGACUUUGAUGGACCGGCUGAACACUCAACUGGACCACUUUCACCGGAUCAGCUGCCUCUUUCAUUUUUUCUACAUGGAACAGUUCUCUUAACAGUCUCGGUUUUGGAGGCUGGAGCUCAUCCACGGAAAAUAGUGAUAAAUUAGGGAUGCAAUUGGGAUGCUAUGAGUAAAAAACGAGCAGAAAAGGACCAAAUUGAAACACAGUUAAUAAAGUGAGGCCGAAUAAAAAAUGUGGAACAAGCCAAG